GAUGAACGCUGGCGGCGUGCCUAAUACAUGCAAGUCGAGCGAACAGACGAGGAGCUUGCUCCUCUGACGUUAGCGGCGGACGGGUGAGUAACACGUGGAUAACCUACCUAUAAGACUGGGAUAACUUCGGGAAACCGGAGCUAAUACCGGAUAAUAUAUUGAACCGCAUGGUUCAAUAGUGAAAGACGGUUUUGCUGUCACUUAUAGAUGGAUCCGCGCCGCAUUAGCUAGUUGGUAAGGUAACGGCUUACCAAGGCAACGAUGCGUAGCCGACCUGAGAGGGUGAUCGGCCACACUGGAACUGAGACACGGUCCAGACUCCUACGGGAGGCAGCAGUAGGGAAUCUUACGCAAUGGGCGAAAGCCUGACGGAGCAACGCCGCGUGAAUGAUGAAGGUCUUCGGAUCGUAAAACUCUGUUAUUAGGGAAGAACAAAUGUGUAAGUAACUAUGCACGUCUUGACGGUACCUAAUCAGAAAGCCACGGCUAACUACGUG
rnacentral:rRNA from 1 species